UCGAACUCCUGACCUCAGGUGAUCCGUCCGCCUCGGCCUCCCAAAGAGCUGGGAUUACAGGCGUGAGCCGCCGCCCAACCACUUUUUUUAGUAUUUUAAAUCAAGUAUCUUUUUGUUUGUUUGUUUCUUCUGUGCCUAUGCUUACCCAGACAGUUUCUUCAUUUAUUUUCCCCCGCCUUGGGCAGGCUUCCACUCUUCAGACCCUUUCCUGCACAACUUUGUCCCUGAGCAUAGGUCCUGGACGUAAAAGAAGGGACAUCGUCUGGAGAAAUAUUGAAUUAAGAAAGGCGCGGCUGUGAAGAAUAGAAAUCAGUGUCUCCCUUAGUCUCUCAGUUCGGCGAUCUUGGUAAUGCCCUGUCCCAUGCCUGCUAACGCGAUUCAGCCUCGAUAUCCCCGUCCAGUCCCACGAUCGCACCAAGAAGAGCUUGCGAGCCUUCCUGCUACAUACUGACAUUAAGAAACCGGACUUGAAAGGGAUCCCAGACAAACGUUAAACAUGCAACAAGAGGGAUAGGGUGUAAGGAAGAGAAUCCUUGGGGCGGUGUCUGAUAAAACAGAUGGCUCUCCUUUCCAGGUGUUUCUGAAUUUGAUCCCCGACGCCUGGGGCAUCGUGGAGGAACUUGCAUAGGAAAUCAAGGUGUCGCAGGAAAGAGAACACGCACAAGCAAAAGAUACCUUAAUUUGUAGUAUACUCAAUAUUUAUCGUACAGAAGUGUAUCGACGAUAGACAAUGUGCGAUGUGAUGGGUGCUGGGAACUUAACGAACUCUCCACGCGCCUAGACCUCAUUGGAUCCACUUUCUCUUGGGCUGUGAGCCGGUAAAAAAAAAAGGGGUGGAUGUGGAGGACGGUCCAAAGGAUUCGGAGCUCCUUAAAAUGCUACUCAAACUUUAUUUAGCGCGCUGGAGAAUCCCUGAGAAGGAGUAUUAUACCCAGUUUUCCGGGACUUACCUCCAGUGAUUCUACGUCGAUUCUUUGAUGAGGCCCAUUAAUUUUUAGCUGGGUGAUGCCGACCAGACUGUAAGUAGCACUGUAUUCGUGCAUUUUCUUUUAUCGCCCACUUUUUGCAACUAACACCAACAGAGAACUUCCACGGUAGAAGGUGAAAAAUUGAGCGUCUACCGGGAGUGGGACUCACAAUCUUAUGUUACUGGGCUUUAACCAACCGAGGUAAUUCCCUUCUACUUUCAAGAUUUUUAUUUUUGUUUUCGUGUUUAAUAAACGUGUAGAUUUCGUCGCAUUGUUUUGUUCUGUUCUGUGGCGGCUUUUUCAUAGAAAGACAACACCAACCUGGGCAUGGUGGCGUGACUCUGUAACUAUACUCAGAAGGCUGAGGCGGGAGAAUCGCUUAAGGCCUGCAAUUGAAGGCCAACUUGGACAACAGAAUGAGACCCUCGUCUCCAAUAAAAUACACAAUUUUUUUGAAAAAGACAACAUCUCCCCCUUAAACAAAACAUUCUCUUCUGAAAAUGCAUUCUCUUAAUCUCCUUUCUUUUACUGAUACUGAGAAAGGGGUUGGCUGAAAGAGAUCUCUGGAAAGACAACUCAAAAAAAUCAAAUAAAGAGUACUAUUUGGCGGGGUGCGAUGGCUCACGCCUGUAAUGCCAGCACUUUGGGAGGCUGAGGCAGGUGGAUCACCUGAGGUCAGGAGUUCGACACCAGCCUGGCCAACAUGGUGAAACCCCAUCUCUACUAACAAUACAAUAAUUAGCCUUGUGUAGUAGCAGCCACCUGUAAUCCCAGCUACUUAGGAGGCUGAGGCAGGAGAAUCACUUGAACCUGGGAGGCGGAGGUUGCAGUGAGCUGAGAUCACCCCAUUGCAUUCCAGCCUGGGCCAUAAGAGCGAAACUCCAUCUCAAAAAAAAAAAAAAGUAUUAUUUAUCUAUAAAAAGAAAUGAAAUUCUAAUACAAGCUAUGACAUGAAUGAACAUUGAAAAUAUUAUACUAAGAAAAAGAAGCCUUUGACCUUUGAUAUGAUAAGCAGAUUGGGACCCCAUCCCACUCCACUGAAAAAACUACAGAGAUUGUAUUUGAAGAUAAAAUACUUUCUUUUCUCCUGAGUAUUCUAGAGCAGCAC
rnacentral:lncRNA from 1 species